GGUGAACGCUGGCGGCGUGCCUAAUACAUGCAAGUCGAGCGAACAGACGAGGAGCUUGCUCCUCUGACGUUAGCGGCGGACGGGUGAGUAACACGUGGAUAACCUACCUACAAGACUGGGAUAACUUCGGGAAACCGGAGCUAAUACCGGAUAAUAUAUUGAACCGCAUGGUUCAAUAGUGAAAGACGGUUUUGCUGUCACUUAUAGAUGGAUCCGCGCCGCAUUAGCUAGUUGGUAAGGUAACGGCUUACCAAGGCAACGAUGCGUAGCCGACCUGAGAGGGUGAUCGGCCACACUGGAACUGAGACACGGUCCAGACUCCUACGGGAGGCAGCAGUAGGGAAUCUUCCGCAAUGGGCGAAAGCCUGACGGAGCAACGCCGCGUGAGUGAUGAAGGUCUUCGGAUCGUAAAACUCUGUUAUUAGGGAAGAACAAAUGUGUAAGUAACUAUGCACGUCUUGACGGUACCUAAUCAGAAAGCCACGGCUAACUACGUG
rnacentral:rRNA from 1 species